CUUGAAGAACGUUGUUUAAAUUGUUAUGAGUCUACAACACUUAAUUUCAGCGAAAUUCAAUUAAAAAAUCAUGUUAUAAAAGACAGAAAAAUAUCAAUAUCUGUUUUCAAUAACUUGGUUUUCAUAGCAAAUCUGAGAGACUGUUUACCGUUUCACUCCUGUCCCAAUCUAAUCUAGUGGGUUCAAAAAGAAGGGACCGCGCUGGAAACAUGAGUGGAUUAAAAGGAUCAGCCCUUUUUGAAUUAAUAGUUGAAAUGGUAACCAGCUGGAAGUCGUAACCAGCUAGAAGUCGUAAUCUGCUCGUAUGAAAGGAUUUCUCGACGUGAAAUUGUUAAUUUUAUUCAGCAACGCCAAGAAACAGAGCUCGCUCAAAAAAACAGAA